rnacentral:lncRNA from 12 species
GGGUUGUGGUUGUGAACUCUCCGCGCCCCCAAGUCGUCAGCCCGCGGGCCCCGAGCCUCCCUCCCCGGCUCGCCUCCUGGACCAGGGCGUCCCGGGCGCCGAGGCGCGAGCGCGCGACGCGCCCAGGUCCGUCUCCACGGCCGCCUCCUGCCUCCUGCCUCCUGCCUCCUGGCCGAGUGGAGGGGAAGAGGGGGUCUCCGGUGUGCGCGGGGCCGCGGACGGCGAGCGGGGCGCGGCGGUUCUGGGCAGGUCCCUUCCAGCCCCUCCCGACCUCCCAGCCCGCGAUCCCCGAGCGGAGCGAGCCCGCGGGCGCCCGCCCUUCCCGGUGCGGCCGGCCGGGUGGGGUCCCCGCCAGCGGAGCGCGUGCGGGUGGGGGCGCUGGAGCGCAGGGACCCCGGGGUGGGGGCCUGUUCGCGCGUUGUUGCCCGCGCCGUAUUCCUUGUCCCCGGCGCCUGCUCGGUGCCAUCCCAGACCACAGGACAGGAGUGGGCGGCGGCAGGCGGAUCUGGGGAGGAGAGUCAAACUGAUGCAGGAGCCGGGAUGCCCAGGGAGGAAGGCCUGCCUCGGCUGUGGCUGGGUGGCAGUGAGGGCUUCCCCAAGGUGGUCCUGGAGCUCAGAGGGGCCAAGGAGACGGAGCACACCUCCCCAGAGUUUCUCCAGGUAGAUUUCAAAUGGGGUUGGCUGUAGAUGAGGGGGCCAGCGAAUUACCUGGUGACCGGAUGAAUCCCUGAGUCUGGGGAAGGGAAAUAACUUGCCUCCUAGAAGCUCCUCCAUCCCUGCCC